rnacentral:rRNA from 1 species
CAGCAGCCGCGGGAAUACGGAGGGUGCAAGCGUUAAUCGGAAUUACUGGGCGUAAAGCGCACGCAGGCGGUCUGUUAAGUCAGAUGUGAAAUCCCCGGGCUCAACCCGGGAACUGCAUUUGAAACUGGCAGGCUUGAGUCUUGUAGAGGGGGGUAGAAUUCCAGGUGUAGCGGUGAAAUGCGUAGAGAUCUGGAGGAAUACCGGUGGCGAAGGCGGCCCCCUGGACAAAGACUGACGCUCAGGUGCGAAAGCGUGGGGAGCAAACAGGAUUAGAUACCCCGGUAGUCCCUGUCUCUUAUAC